GAUGAACGCUAGCGGCAGGCUUAAUACAUGCAAGUCGUGGGGCAGCGCAGGUAGCAAUACUGGGCGGCGACCGGCAAACGGGUGCGGAACACGUACACAACCUUCCGAGAAGUGGGGAAUAGCCCAGAGAAAUUUGGAUUAAUACCCCGUAACAUAACGAUGUGGCAUCACAUUGUUAUUAUAGCUUCGGCGCUUCUUGAUGGGUGUGCGGCUGAUUAGAUAGUUGGCGGGGUAACGGCCCACCAAGUCGACGAUCAGUAGCUGAUGUGAGAGCAUACUCAGCCACACGGGCACUGAGACACGGGCCCGACUCCUACGGGAGGCAGCAGUAAGGAAUAUUGGUCAAUGGACGCAAGUCUGAACCAGCCAUGCCGCGUGAAGGAUUAAGGUCCUCUGGAUUGUAAACUUCUUUUAUCUGGGACGAAAAAAGGCGAUUCUUCGUCACUUGACGGUACCAGAUGAAUAAGCACCGGCUAACUCCGUGCCAGCAGCCGCGGUAAUAC
rnacentral:rRNA from 1 species